rnacentral:lncRNA from 1 species
UUUUUGCCGUAAGAUACGGUUGCAGAAACAUUAUGAACAAAAUAAGUUAUAAAUAACGCAAAAAAACACAUAAUAGCACAAUUGGUUGGGCGCCAUAAAACUGCUGCCAUUUUAAUCAGGACCAGUGUGGUGGUACAGGCUGGGAAGGCUGAGGGUUAUAUGGACCAGUGUGGUGGUACAGGCUGGGAAGGCUGAGGGUUAUAUGGACCAGUGUGGUGGUACAGGCUGGGAAGGCUGAGGGUUGUAUGGACCAGUGUGGUAGGUACAGGCUGGGAAGGCUGAGGGUUAUAUGGACCAGUGUGGUGGUACAGGCUGGGAAGGCUGAGGGUUAUAUGGACCAGUGUGGUGGUACAGGCUGGGAAGGCUGAGGGUUAUAUGGACCAGUGUGGUGGUACAGACUGGCAAGGCUGAGGGUUAUAUGGACCAGUGUGGUGGUACAGGCUGGGAAGGCUGAGGGUUAUAUGGACCAGUGUGGUAGGUACAGACUGGGAAGGCUGAGGGUUAUAUGGACCAGUGUGGUGGUACAGACUGGGAAGGCUGAGGGUUAUAUGGACCAGUGUGGUGGUACAGGCUGGGAAGGCUGAGGGUUAUAUGGACCAGUGUGGUAGGUACAGGCUGGGAAGGCUGAGGGUUAUAUGGACCAGUGUGGUAGGUACAGGAUGGGAAGGCUGAGGGUUAUAUGGACCAGACAUUUAGUGGGUGCUAGAAUAAAAGCUGUGUACGGUACUCACGCCUGGCAGCAUGACAUGUCCCCGUUGGUUUGACAAUAGCAGUUCAUGCAAUCACUGGUCCUCCAGCGGGACCCAAUAUCAUGCCACGUCCCAUCCUUGUUGUAAAGACACUGCCUCAUACCUAUACAAUACAUGCCUAUUCAAUAUAUCAUAUCAAUGUGUUUGUUGUCUUUUUCAAUGAGAUUCAAGAUUCAAGUGUAUUAAAAACAUCAUUGCAUAACAAUAUGAAAUGUCCUUUACAGGUCAUAAAAUAAAAUACAAAAAUAAAACCCUAAAAUCACAUAAUGAUUUGGAACAAGAGGUUAUUUUAUUAGGUUGAUAAAUGUACAGGAGUGUGUACAGGAGUGUGUGUGUGUGCGUGCGUGCGUGCGUGCAUGUUACAACACCAUUUACUUUUGCCCAGAGCCCUAUGGUUGUGUGUGUGCGCG